AACCACCCGAUCCCAUUGAGCACCCGGUUCCUCUGGAUCCCCUCCAUCACGCACGAGAUCGCCGCCACCCCUCAUAGAGAAGACGCCGCCGGAUCUCGUGCGAUCCCGCUGCCGCCGACUACGGGAUCGCCUCCACUGGAUCGCCGCCGCGGGUAUAAGGGGUCACGUCACCGCCGCCGCAGACGUAAGGGGUCACUCCAGCCGUAAUCCCCGAUCAUCGUCCAGCAGCUCACCGUCGGCGGCCGCGACCGCCUGAUUCCCUGUUGCGCGUCCCCUUCAAUCACGGUGGUGCUCCUCCCCGCAUCGCCGUCGUUGGUGGAGCUCGCCUCACCCUCCUCACCUCGUCGGCUGCAGCCGCACUUACCCUCCACGGUGCUCCUCUUCGGCAUCCACCGCAAGUCAGUGCACGGCGACAAUAGAAAUUUCAGUUCACGUGUAGAACGCCCGUUCAAUCUCUUGUUCAGGAGAUUAAAAUUGACCAAGGAAGCGGUGCCGGCCACCAGGAUCACGUACAUGAACACCUGAAUCUAUACAUCCAUCUCGAGCCUUGAUUAACAUGAUUAAUGGGCAACUCCAACUGUAAGUGCAGCCCUAUGUACGAAGAAAGAAAGCAAGGAUCUGGUGGAAGAAGUCGUUCGGUGGUGGACAAAUCAGUACGAAUACAAGUUACAUUAUGUCAGGGGCAAACGUUUCUUUUUCUAUGGCUUAAUUUCUCUGCUCUAUAUACAUGCCAACUAUCUUUAUAUAUUGUUUUCUAAAGCUUCUCUAUAUAUUGUUCUGCAAGAACUAGGGACUAACUAUGGCCAUGAUGUAAAGUGCUGAAACUCGAUCUUGUUCGACAUGUGAGGGUUGUCAAUGCCUGCAAGUGCUCAAACUCGAUUUUGUUUUACAUGAUGUGAAGUGCUAAAAAUCGAUUUUCUUUUUGUUUAUAUAUAUAUUGUUUUCUAAAGCUUCUUUCCGUGUUGAGCAUGCUUGGUUGUUGGACUGUGCAGGCUGGAGAGGAGACAGUGAGAUGUGGCAAACUGAAGGCAUGAGUUGAUUACCUUCUGUUGCUGAAAGGCGUAUUUGGAGUAUGAAGAUCCUGAGUUGUUGUUGAUUGUGUCUGCCUGAGCUAGCUAAAUUGUUUCAGAUACGUUAGUGUUGCUUUCCCGUUGUUUCUUCAAAUAUCAAUAUAGCAGUUUUGAAGUCAUGCCUGUUGUUUUCUUCAUUAGAGAUCCACACACCAAACUGAUAGGCAAGUAAACUCGCUUUUCACCCAUUGCAGUUCAUCAGCAAUCCUUGAAAAUUGCUGGAGUUUUUUUGUUUAUCAGCAGCCUUACCUUAUUAUUCUAUAAGGCAAUAGAAGGGUCUAUUAAUACCACAUCUGUAUACAUAGAUUUUGCUUAUUAAGUGACAAUUGCAUGAGUUCUUAUGUAAAGCUUCGAUCUCCUUAAGGUAAUGCUUUUUCCUCUUUUUCACAAGUGGGUUCAGCGGCAUCUUUUUCUUUAUAUACGUGUACAAUUUGUCUUAUUUUCCUUCUGGCCUGGUAUGCCACCAUUUCCAAAGCUGAGUUGUAAAUGAACAUAGAUACACCAAUUUUCCCUUUAAUGUGUGUACGAUGUUGAGAUGCCCGCAGGCCGUCGUCAUCCAGUCUCUUUAGUCUUAAACAAGGACUACUUUUUAUUCGUUCUAUUUUCAUAUUCAAACAAGUAAUUGUCUACUUAGUUAAGGGCCGUCCCGCACCUUGUUAAUAGCUGUUCAAAUAUGGUAUGAUAGUUUUGUUAUUUAAUUACUUUGCUGUUUCUUGUACGCAGAAAUUCUCCCAUAGGGGUUUGGAAUUGGAGAGUGCCAUAUAUUGGGGUGUAUUUGUGGCAAUGCAUUGUUAGUAAGGGUGAAAGAUUUUCUUUAAUUUACCUGUUGUGCUAAAUUGUUGAGAUGGUACCACUUAUUUAGCAUUCCAAAACAUAUGCGCUCAAUUGGUUAAGACGACUGGUAUGCUGGAAAUGAGAUUUUUCGUGGAGAUAUAGUUUUGAUAUAGUAAAUUUUUACUUGAUUCUUAAGCUAUGUGGUAAUGUCAUUAACAUAUAAUAAUAUUUUAUGCCUACCAUAUACUAUCCUUUCACAACAACUGUUUAUUUUUGAAAUUUUAAUAUUCUUUUGAUUCAGGUUAUACAGUUACAUGAUGAUGGCAGAUGGAUGUGUCCUUCGAAGAAUUGUCUAAAUAGAUAAAAAACAGUAACACUAAGUCUUGUAAGAUCUCACAAAAAAUAGUUCUUGAUGCUCGUCCGUUGCUACAGGCUCAUGAUCGUACAUUCCCAUGCGUUGUUAGUCGAAAUAGAGACGAAGCAUUAACAUAGGAAGGAUUUGUGAACUCUUUUUGUACAUCAAUAGGGGAGACAACCAAAGAUAAGUUAGUUCAUGUUUUUUCUUAGUAACACAGUUGUCACCAAGGUACGUCUAUGACUCCUAAUGUUGAAUUGUAUUAGCUGUCAUGGGCAUCCAGCAGUUCGAAAACAGUUGUAGUGCUGAUAAAUUAGUUCAUGUUUUUAUAUUAGUAAUACAAUGUGAUAAAGAAAAUCAUGUCCAGCAAUUAAUAAGCAGUCCAUCAUCCUUAUAUUUCUUGAUGGAGGGAAUAAGAUGCACUUGACAAUGCUUAGUUUUUUUAUCUUAUAUGUGUUGUGCUACUGCUAUUUCAGGAGGAAUAUGAAAAGGAGAUAAACGACACCAGGGCCUGGAGCUCACGUACGCUGAAGAGGCAUAAACUUUGGAUAAGGAGCUGAAGAAUGAGAAACUGAAGGCUGUUGUGGAGUAAAGAGCCUCAAGGAGAAACUAGAAAACAGACAGAUGACCCGCGGUCGAAGAGUGAGCUAGUCAGUAAUGGCGGGACUGACAUCGACAAGCCAUGACCUUGUUCUAGAGGACAAAAUCGUGCUCGCCAACAAUAGUGUUUCCAGGGAUGUGAUCUACAACGUCGAUGAGGCCAUGAAACAAUGUUUUUCUCCCGAGUGGAAGGAGAGGACAUGCAGUGGCGUUUUCGCAGCUGGAGGCGAGGUUGAGGAAGUUGAAUCAGGUUACGCUUUGGCAACAUCCACCCGAACUGCUUCAAAGAAUUACCAGGACGCCUUCGUGUUUUGUACUGUGUGCUGGAAUUGUCUUUCAGUAAGGCUUGCAUUGAUGCUUUUAUUAAAAGCAUGUUAUAUUUAGCGGUUUAUCUGCAAAACUUGUUCAGAAUUAAGUGAUGGUAGUGAUACAAAAAUUUAACUAUCACAACUUCUUUCAAUUAUAUUUAGAAAUGAGGCUAUAUAAAGCUUCCUUCUGUUCUAAGAUUUCAUGCCGUGGAUUUAUGUGAUGAUAGCAAUAUGUGUGAACCAAUAUGACACCGAGGAACUUUUGAGUUUAUA